UCCAGAGCAGGUCCUUUUCUGAAUGACUCUCCACUACAGCCGUACACCUCAACUCCAUCCACCUCACAGGAUAAGCAGAGGCAUGCCAAGACACUUCAUCUCUCCCUAGACGCAUAGACUAAAUACACUGAGUAACUCUGGUCUAUCAUACUUUUUACACUCUAGUAGCUAGCCAUCGGAGCAGAAGAUUCUCUUGAUUCUCCAUUCAAGCAGAGGGACAAGCCGAAGCCUGAUUUUCUGUCCGUCCUACACCCGAGGUUCCUAAAGCCAAAGGAUACUUGGCUCUUCUCCACAUUAUUGACGUCUGCCCCAGCCUAGGACUCAGUGAUCGAAUAUCUGUAUGAUGACCAUGAGGGUGUGUGCGGUGCUCUAUGCCCUCAUGUUACUGCUGUCACGGACUCUAUCCAAAACACACGUUGGGUAUCCACAGCGCUCCAUGGAGAUAAACGGGUUGUUGUGUGUCUUCUAUUUUUCCUCCGCCAAAAAUAUUUGUGACACUCAGAUCCAGACAGCUAUGCCUCGUGGUACACAGGACGAGGGAUCCGACCAGUAGGACGUUUUGGGCGACGGACGAACGGGAGAAUCCAAAGGCUGGCUCUCGCCACACAUAGUCUGUGUUCCCAACAUGGAAAACGAAGACUGGCGAACGGAUUAAUUACAUCAUGAAACUGUUUUGCCUCUUUCUUUCUCCGUUGUUGUUUGUAUAUUAAGAAGUGACGUGAUUUGAAUAAAAACAUUUAGAAACUA